CUUUUUCCAUGUGUAGGAACUUGCAAGGAUGGCAGGAGGCUACAGAGAGCAGACUUGAAACCCUGUGAAAAGAAGAAAUAAGCAAAGCAAGAGGAUAAGCCCUGGGAGAACAGCGUGCUUCCCAGUGUCUGCCUCGUCCUGCACAGUAAGAGCCAGGUCAACUUCAGGAAAUAAGCAAGGCCUCUAAAAGGAAGCACGACCAGAAAAUACAGCACAACUAGGAGCAUAUGGAAGGGAUCCAAGAAGUGGAGACCAUCAUUCGGUAAUAGAAUCUGCUUUGGAGAUGAGAGAGCCUAGAAGGAUGCCCAAUGCCCAGGAAAUGAAUACCCGCCUCAGGGCCACAGCCAUAAUGGGACAAAGUGCUCAGUACAGCACCUGAUUCAGAUGAACACCCACAGAGUCACCACCGUCACUGUUACUCACCCGAGUUUUGUCCAUUGGACCACUGUACACAGAGAAAAAGAAAGUUGGUAAUUGUGUGGUUUACGGAGUUUAAACAACCUCUUCCACCAGAGCCACUGAGCCUAAAUCUACUUUAACAAGGAGCAAAGGAUAUUUUGAUCCACAGCAAGAGAAAAGGUUUUCAAAGCAAAUACCCUUGAGAUAGAAAACAAAGAUUCCACUCCAGUUCAUUUACUUGCAACAACAGCGGUUGGAGGAGGGUAAAACCAGGCUGAGAAGAAGAAAGAGCACAGGAGGCCCCAGGGCAAGAGGAGGAGGUGAAUCCCAGCAGGGGAUGGAAAGAUGGGAAGAAAAGGCCAAACCAUUCGCUGGCUUUCUGACUUUAUUUCCAAAUGCCCUGCCGGAGAUGUGCUCAUUAAUGGUUUGUUUGAACAGGCCACGUCUACCCAAUGGACCCAGACUAAAAGGAACAGGACAGAACUGAGGGAACCUCAGUUAAGGUCAAGUGCCUGCUUAGUCUCAUGGACUGUACAGAGAGUAGGAGAAACAGCUUGCCUUGGAGACAGCCUAGGAGCAGAAAUAAUAAGGAACUAAUCAUCCAUGCUUCGUCGGCAGUAGUAGAAAGCAAACAAUUCAUCAGUGGCCCCAACUAUCUCUUGCCCAGACCAGUUUAUGCCUUACAGAACCCCCUCAUACCCCCAUCAAUUCAGGCUAGCAUUACUUUGUUUUUGUUUUUUGAGACAGAGUCUCACUCUGUCACCCAGACUGGAGUGCAGUUGGUGCGAUUCGGCUCACUGUAACCUCUGCCACCCGGGUUCAAGCGAUUCUUGUGCCUCAGCCUCUCGAGUAGCUGGGAUUACAGGCAUGCACCGCCACACCUGGUUAAUUUUUGUAUUUGUAGUAGAGACGGGGUUUCACCAUGUUAGCCAGGGUGGUCUCGAACCCCUGGCCUCAAGUGAUCCGCCUGCCUCAGCCUCCAAAAGUGCUGGGAUUACAGGCGUGAGCCACCGCACCCAGGCAGGCUAGCAUUGAUUUUUGUUCCAAUAGCUACUUAGGCUCACUGUUAAUGUGGCUUUUGUUGCUUUUUACUGGCUGUUUGCUUCUCAUAAGUACCAUAGAGGACUUUCUAUGUGCUUGUAUAAUAAAUCUUAUAAAUCCAGUCUAAAAAAAUUAUGUUUUUUAUAGUUUGCCUUGGUAAUUCCUAGGCCUGGGAGGGGGACCAGAUAUAUCAGGUGCCCCAUGAGAAACCUCUCCUGGGGCAGUACCAGGUACUAGGGAACAUGAUAAACAGAUGCAGACUCAAAGGGUAGCUUCCCUUGUCUGUACAGUAGCUUAAUGAUGAAGGUGGCUGAGUGGCAGUUCUACCUGGUUCCAGGAACCUCCUCAGCUAGACUUGUUUUUGUUUCUGUUUUGAGACAGAGUCUCAUUCUGUCGUCCAGACUGUAGUGCAGUGGUGUGAUCUCAGCCCACUGCAACUACCAUCUCCUGGGUUCAAACGAUUCUCCUGCCUCAGCCUCCUGAGUAGCUGGGAUUACAGGUGCCCACCAGCAAACCUGGCUAAUUUUUGUAUUUUUAGUAGAGACGGGGUUUCGCCAUGUUGGUCAGGCUGGUCUCGAACUCCUGAUCUCAAGUAAUCCACUUACCUUGACUUCCCAAAGUGCUGGAUUACAGGCAUGAGCCACUGCGCCCGGCCUCAGCUAGAUCUUUAAGGCAACGGUUCCCCACCUUUUCAAGUAUGAGAUGCCAUUGUAACAUUAGAAAACUUCAUAGGUCUCAUUAACAGUGCCUGUAUCAUUCAUUUUAAAAAUCCUUAUUGUCAAGUGACAUUUUUUUUUCUUUUGAGUCAGAGUCUCACUCUGUUGCCCAGGCCGGAGUGUACUGAUGUGAUCGACAAGUGACAUUUUAAAAUGAAUGUUGUGUUUUACAGAUGGCAACAGCGCCCUCACAUGCUAUGUACAAUUCAGCCUACGGACGUACUUGGUGGCAUUUCAGCGUGAUGAGCCUUACAGGGGUUUUCAGACACAGACUUUACUAAGAACAACAUGUGGAUGGUUUUAAAAGAACUAUUGGAAUGAGCAGACUACAAUUUUCCAACAGUUACUUUCAACACAAAUGCAUGUGGAAAGCUGAAAUCAUAUGCAUCUGUGGUUAGAUUCUGGCCUUAACCCUGUGCUGACCUUGAGCUUCCCCGUAAUUGUUGGGCUCUUUCUUUGCCUCCAGGCUGAACCAUCUGCUGCUUUCUCCCACUACCAGGAACGAAGGGACCUAAGCUCCAAUGUGCUCAUCCUGGAACACCCAGGCACUUUGCAUUUCUCAAAGUUCAGUUCCCCAAGCGCAAGUUUUCUGCUCUGCUGGACAGAACGGCAGCAUUUCAAUCAUUCUCAGGCUUGCUCUGCUCCUGUUCCUACUUGUCCAGGUCCAUAAACCCAGGACUCACAGGAAGGGCCCUUCCCCUGGGAGCCGCGUUCAGAGGACAGUGCCUAUGGCAGGAGGGAGUGGUCUAUGAGCCCCUGGGGCUGGAAGAUUCCCCUCCAUUCUUCAGUGGCAUUUCCCUUGGCACUUGUUUCCUGCUCUCACUACAGACACCUGAACCCUGAAGCUUAACCCCACCUUGAAGCUAGGGCAUGGUUACCUAACGUAGGCCUCCCUCCUGUGAAGGCAGGUCUGAGAGGCCAUCUGCAGAGAGGCAGGGUUAUUCCUGAGGGGUGGGGAGACCAUUGCAGAGACUCCAGCUGCUGCCUGACAGUUUCUGAGAUGCCUGCCAAGGAAAAAGGAGAAUUCUGGUUAGAAGGGAGCUAAAAACUCUGGGGAAGUAUUUCAAUAUCUAAUUGAGAGAGAGGCUGAGAUGGCAGCUAGGACCACUGUGGAGACAAUCUCAGACAAUCUCAAGGAGCUUCAACCAAAGCAACCAAUGACAGGGGGAGUUCAGAUUUCUCUCUUAAAUUCUGCAAGGGAGGCCAGUGUGGUGUCUCACACCUGUAAUCCCAACACUUUGAGAGGCCAAGGCAGGAGGAUCACUUGAGGCCAGGAGUUUAAGACCAGCCUGGGCAAUGUAGCAAGUCCCUGUCUCUACAAAAAAAAAAAAUUUAGCCAGCGUGGUGGCAAACACCUGUAGUCCCAGCUAUUUGGGAGGCUGAGGCAGGAGGAUCACUUGAGCCCAAGAGUUCUAGGCUGCAGUGAGCUAUGUUCACACCACUGCACUUCAGCCGGGGUGACAGAGCAAGAUCUUCUCUCUAAAAAAUAAAAUAAAAAAUAAAAACAAAGCUGCAAGGGGAAGGGGAAGAAGCAGAUACUGAGACUUCUCCCAACAAGAGGAUAAGCCCCAAAGAAAGACAUUUUCUUGAAGGCAAAGUUCAGCUCCUUCAUCACGCAUCUUUAGUGCUGUGAGCUUUUGUGCUGUUGGCCCUUAGGACCAAGGAGGCAACAUGAGUCCAGAUCCAGUAGAGCUACUAGUGAUGGGCCUGAAGGGAGGGGAGUCUAGACCUGUCCUCCUUAUUAUUAUAAAAUUUUAGCCUAAUCAGCUUCUGGGAAGCAGUCUAAUUAAAAGUGGAAAGAAGCUGAAAGUGGCAGCUAGUCAGCUCCGUGUACAAAUCCCAACUCCAUGUCUUCUUAGUUGUUGGACCAGCCCAGGCAAGCCCCUGAAUCUCCUUAUGUCUCAAUUUCCUCAUCUGUAAAAAUACUAGUCACAGCAGACCUCCUUUAUAGGGUCGUUGUGGCCCAAGGGCUUGCAAUAAAUUUGGUAUCUAAUUUUGGAGUGAUUUGGGGCUGCAGUUUAACAAGAUUGAUUCCAAAUGUAGCACAAAGUCGGCUCUCAAUCAACAUUAAUGGAAUGAAUUACUCUCAAUAAUAAAUACUUCAAGAGAGGUAGCUGGAAAAAAAUGUUCAUGACUGAUAAAUUGUGUGCAGGGUGAGUUUUACAAGGGAAUGCUGAUACUUUAUGAGUUGAGAUGGCACUGAGUCUUAAAUAGAGAAAACAUUUCGGAAGAGAAAUAAAUACAAUUGGCUUUCCAGAACUGCAUUCCACAUCUGUAGAUUCAACCAACGGUGCAUCAAAAAUAUUCUAAAAAAAUAGAUGGUUGUGAUAUAUAGACUUUUUUCCUUAUCGUUUUCCCCUAAACAAUACAACAACUUUUUUUUUUUUUUUUUUUUUUUUUUGAGACGGAGUCUCGCUCUGUCACCCAGGCUGGAGUGCAGUAGCAUGAUCUCGGCUCACUGCAAGCUCCACCUCCCGGGUACACGCCAUUCUCCUGCCUCAGCCACCUGAGUAGCUGGGACUACAGGCGCCCGCCACCAUGCCCGGCUAAUUUUUUGUAUUUUUUUUUUAGUAGAGACGGGGUUUCACCGUGUUAGCCAGGAUGGUCUCGAUCUCCUGACCUCGUGAUCCACCCGCCUCAGCCUCCCAAAGUGGUGGGAUUACAGGCAUGAGCCACCGUGCCCGGCCUACAACUAUUUACAUAGCAUUUACAUUGUAUUUGGUAUUGUAAGUAAUCUAGAGAUGAUUUUGAUUUAAGUACACUAAAGAAUUGUAUAGGUUACAGGCAAAUACUGUGCUAUUUUACAUAGGGAUUUUGUUAUCCUCAGGCACCCUGGAACCAAUCCCCCACAGAUACCAGGGGACAACUGUAUAUGGUUCUGCAGAAGUGGCCUUGACAUCAAGAUACCUAAAUUCUAAUCCUGAUUCUGCUAUUAAUUUGUUUUGUGGCAUCAAACAAGCUGACUUCAGACUCACUGUUUUUUCAUUUGAAAAGCGAAGUUAGGCCAGAUUAUAUCCAAGGUUCAUUUCUAUUCAGACAGUGGAUAAUUCUGUAACAGUCUCUGGAACUUCUGCAAGAGAUGCUACUUGUAAAGCAAGGCAAAAGUGGUUUUAAGGGGGAAAAAAAAGAUCUACGUCUAUUACAAUACAUGCCUCAUUUUUACCAGGAUAAAAACCACUACAAACAUCAUCCUCAUCAUUACUAUUUACCUACUGUUGACUGUGUGCUAGACUCCACACUAGAGCAUGUUAGACAUAUGAUCUCAUUCAGUCCUCUCAACAAUUCUCAGCAUUUCACAAGAUUCAUUCUGAAAAGAAAAGAUUUGGCCAUGUGCGGUAGCUCACACCUGUAAUCCCAGCACUUUGGGAGACCAAAAUGGGAGGAUUGCUUGAGCCCAGGAGUUCAAGACCAGCCUGAGCAACAUGGAGAAACCUCGUCUCUACUGAAAAUACAUAAAUUAGCCAGGCAUGGCAGUGCAUGCUGUGGUCCCAGCUACUCGGGAAGCUGAGAUGGGAGGAUCACUUGAGCCAGGGAGGUAAAGGCUGCAGUGAGCCAUGAUCACGCCACUGCACUCCAGCCUGGGCGACAGUGCAAGACUCUGUCUCGAGAAAGAAAAAAAAGGAAGAAAUUUACAUUCCCUCUAAAAAAGGAAUUGGAUCAUUAUGGACUGCGUGACUUAAAGCUACCAUUUAUUAGUAGUCUUCUACGUGCCAGAGACAUACCAGAGAUGCUUUUAAAGUUCUACAAGCAACAUUUUCAUGUUCAAUGUGGAGGUCAGUAAGAGACCAAAAAUCCCAAAUCCCAGAUUGUACCUCCUACUCUCUGUGAUGGAUUAGAAAGAAAACAGGAUCCUCUUCAUCCUUCAAGACCCAGUCAGUUUUGUCGCCUCUGAGAAGUCUUCUCCUGUGUCUGCUUCCACCCCACCCUGCUUCAGGAAGACUCACGUUGCCUAGAAUUCAACAACCACCCUGGAACUGUGCCUUCUGUUUUUUAUGUUUCAGAUACAUACCCAUACCCCAAUAAUUCUACCAAAUUUAAGCUAUCUUUAUGAAACUAAAUAUGAAGAUUCAAAUUAGAUUUAAAACUCAUUUAGCUAAUCUGUUCCAAAAGCAACUUCUGUCUGUUAAUUGGUCGUUUGGUAAGCAGCUUUAGACUCAUUUUAGUACCUUAACUUAAAAUACCACUCUCGGCACACAAAUACUUGUUUAUUGAUGUCGAAAUUAAGAAAUUGUAUUUCUUUUUUUUAAGACAGAGUCUUGCUCUGUCACCCAGGCUGGAGUGCAGGCACAAUCUAUGCUCACUGCAACCUCAGCCUCCUGGGUUCAAGUGAUUCUCCUGCCUCAGCCUCCCAAGUAGCUGGGAUUACAGGCAUGUGCCACCAUGCCCCGUUAAUUUUUGUAUUUUUAGUAGAGAUGGGGUUUUGCCAUGUUGGCCAGGCUGGUCACGAACUCCUGACCUCAGGUGAUCCACCCACCUCAGUCUCCCAAAGUGCUGGGAUUACAGGGGUGAGCCACCACACCCAGCCAGAAAUUGUAUUUUCUUAUCAUCUGGUUUAAUAUUUUGCUUUUUUAACUGUUACUUCACCAAAAUAAUAAAAAAGCAGUUUUGAACCACAUAGGAAAAUGAAUCUUUUCCUAAUUUUGGCCAGGGUAGACCUGCUGGUAGUACUCAGAAAUCGGUUACUAUUAAAACAGUUUAAUUUUUUCAGUUCUUCAUUAUUCAAAGACUCCAAUUAGCACCUCUUUCAAAUAUGUGAGCAGAGAGCUUCAUAAAAAUUUAAUUAGGCCGGGUACAUUGGCUUAUACUUGUAAUCCCAGCACUUUGGGAGGCCAAGGCAGGAGAACAGCUUGAGCUCAGGAGUUUGAGGCCAACCUGGGCAACACAGAGAGACCUGUCUCUAAAAAAAGAAAAGAAAAAAGACUUAAUAAAAAAGAAUUAAUCCACUGCACACCUAUUAGAAAGGCUAAAAUCCAAAACGCUGACAACACCAAAUGCUGGUGAGGAUGUGGAGCAACAGGAAUUCUCAUCCAUGGCUGGUGGGGAAUACAAAAUGGUACCGCCACUUUAGAAGAGAGUUUGGCAGUUUCUUACAAAUCUAAACAUACUCAGCUGGGUGCAGUGGCUCAUGCCUUUAAUCCCAGCACUUUGGGAGGCCGAGACGGGUGGAUCACCUGAAGUCAGGAGUUCAAGACCAGCCUGGGCAACAUGGUGAAACCCAUUUAAAAUUUUUUAUUCUACUAAAAAUACAAAAAUCAGCUGGCAUGGUGGCACGUGCCUGUAGUCCCAGCUACUUCGGAGGCUGAGGCAGGAGAAUCACUUGAACUCGGGAGGCGGAGGUUGCAGUGAGACGAGAUCAUGCCACUGCACUCCAGCCUGGGCAACAGAGUGAGACUCCAUAUCAAAAACAAACAAAGAAAAAAAAAAACUUAAACAUACCCUCACCAUAAAAUCCAGCAAUUGCACUCCUUGGUGUUUACCCAAAGGAGUUGACAACAUAACCACACAAAAACCUGCAUGCAGACAUUUAUAGCAGCUUUACUCAUAAUUGCCAAAACCUGGAUGCAAACAGCAUGUCCUUAGGUGAAUGGAUAAACUGUGUUACAUCUAGACAAUGGAAUAUUAUUUAUUGCUAAAAAGAAAUGAGCUAUCAAGCCAUGAAAAGAUAUGGAGGAACUUUAAAUGCAUAUUAGUAUGUGAAGGAAGACAAUCUGAACAUCUACAUACGCUAUGGUUCCAACUAUAUGAUAUUCUGGAAAAGGCAAAACUGUGGAGACAGAAAAAGAAUCAGAGGUUGCCAGGGGUUAGCAGGGAGGGAAGGAUGAACAGGUGGGGCACAGAGGAUGUUUAGGACAGUGAAAAUAUUCCCUAUGAGACUGUAAUGGUGGAUACGUGUCAUUAUAUAAUUGUCCAAACCCAUAGAAUGUUUAACACCAAGAGUGAAGCGUAGUGUAAAGUAUCAACUUUGAGUAAUGAUAUCUCGAUAUAGUUUCAUCAAUUGUAGCAAAUGUACCAUUCUAGUAGGGUAUGUUGACAAGUGGGGAGGCUGUGGGUGUGUGGGGUAGCAGUGUAUGGGAAAUCUCUGUACCAUCCUCUCAAUUUUGCUGCGAACCUAAAACUUCUCUAUAAAAUAAAGUCUAUUAAAAAUAAAUGUAUUUUUUUUAAAUUAACCACCCUUUAAUAAAAGACUUUGUAGGAAAUUAAGCUUAAGAGAAUAACUGUUACUACAUUUUGGUUACUGCUCUCUUCCCAGUCUCUCUGUGUAUUCUAUAGGUCCAAGAAACUAACUUGGGAAAGGAGAGGGAAAGUUCUUAUUUUCAUAUGCUGGUAAGACAUUCUAGUACUACCAUGUCAAAAUAUAAGCUUUAAAAUUGUAGACCAGUGGUGGUGGGGGCUCUGCAAGCCAGCUAUUGAAAAACAAGUGGAUUCAUGUCUGCACUUUAAAUAAGAGGUGAUAAGUAGAAAACACAAGUAGGUUCAGAAUGGACUAACAGGGCUUUUCAAAUUUGAAUGUUGUAUUAGUCCAUUCUCACGCUGCUGUAAUGACAUACCUAAGACUGGGUAAUUUAUAAAGAAAAGAGGUUUAAUUGGCUGAAAGUUCUGCAGGCUGUACAGGAAGCAUGGCAGCAUCUGCUCAGCAUCAGGCGAGACCUCAGGAAACCUACAAUUAUGGCAGAAGGUGAAAGGGAAGCAGGCAUGUUUUACGUGGCUGGAACAGGAGGAAGAGAGAGAGUGGGGAGGUGCCACACGCUUUUAAACAACCAGAUCUUGUGAGAACUCACUCAUUAUUAUGAGAACAGAAACAGCACUAAACAGAGAUAUCCACCCCUAAGAUCCAAUCACUUCCCACCAGGCCCCACCUCCAAGAUUGGGGAUUACAUUUUGACAUGAGAUUUGGGUGGGACACAGAUCCAAACUAUAGCAAAUGUGUAUACAAAUCACCUGGGAUCUUAUUAAAAAUGAAGAUUCUGAUUCAGUAUAUUUGGAACAAGUCCAGUAAUUCUGCAUGUCUAGCAAGCUCCCAUGUCCCAGGUGACAUCCAUGCUGCUGGUCCAGGAACCACACUUUGGUGGCAAGAAUGUGAGUCAUUGUGUGUGUUGCUAUCAUUAGUCUUCCUGGUAUUGGACUUGAGACCUUCUUAGUCAUCUUUGUAUCUCCAACACUUAUAAGGUGACCAACGUCAAGUUGAGUUAACACAUAGUUACAGAAUAAAUACAUCUUUACAGAAUAAAUACAUCUUAGCCUUUCUUUCUCUAAAAAACGGUGAGAGCAACUCUCUCAGGUAUGGAUGGGAUAAUAUCCAAAAGUAUCCACGCUUCUUCAGGGUUGAAAGAAGACCUUCGAAAGAAAAUCUAAAGAACAAAAGUGCUCACCAUUCAGCCCAUAUCCACUUCCUUUUCAUAGAAAUGAUAGAAGCAAAAAUAAGAAAAUAGCUUGGUGAGACUAGAUGGUUAGAUGAAAGGGUUCCAGGGAGUAAAGAUGGUAAGGACUCGAGCUAGCACACUAGAAAAAGUCUCCUUUUCCUAGGUGCCAGUUUCCAGACUAUGCUUUGCAAAGAGCACUACGAUGAACAUCCUUAAACACUGAAUUAAUGUGUGUCAGCAAAAUAAUUUCCCUAAAAUUGUUUUAUUAUAAGGAAAUUAAUAGGGAGUGUGCAUGUCCUUUCAACAACAUGCUGGAGCAUUGUCUAAAAAGCCCACUGAAGAUUAUUUAAUUCUCUAACAGAGCGUCCCUGUGUUUGCCUUUAGUAUUUACUAUUUGAAUAUAACUCAGACACUAUGGAGUUCUCUGUGGACUUACAUAUUUCCAUCCAGUAGAAGAUCUUAUUACAAAGGUUAUGGUCCCAUUGUCCUGCACCAUAUGAUGCAAUUGUGUAUAUAACCUAGCAAUGUUAUUUAAACAUCCUUUUUUAAAAAAUUUUUCUUUAUUUCUUUAAAGAAAUAAUUUUAUAAAUAGAGACAGGGUCUCGCCAUGUUGCCCAAGCUAGUCUCGAACUCCUGAGCUCAAGUGAUCCACCUUCUUUGGCCUCCCAAAGUGCGGGCAUUACAGGCGUGAGCCACCACACCUGGCCUAUUUGAACAUUCUUUUAAAAAUAUUACUAUAACCCAGCAUUUUGGGAGGCCGAAGCAGGUGGAUCACUUGAGCUCAGGAGUUCAAGACCAACCUGGGCAACAUGAUGAAACCCCGUCUCAGUUAAAAAAAAAAAAAUUCCUAUAAAUGCCCAGUUCCUCAAAAUGCUUUCCCAACCAGUUUUACCACCUUACUGAAUCUCUCAUUAAUGAACAAAUAUUUGACAUGUGCUAAUUGUAUAUUUGUAUGAGAGUCAUGUUUUUAACUUUUUGAAAAUUAUGCUUUGACAGAAUAAAUUACCAGAAAUAGAGCUUGGCUCGGUACAUCACAUGUCCUCAGACCAAGAACAACUAUGCUGGAGAAGCUGUAUUUCCUUCACCAUCACUGAGGAGCCUCAUCUGCACCUGGAAUGAAUUAAGAUAUCAAUGUCCUAUUUUGACUGCAUGCUGUUUAGAAAUGAGAUUUUGAGAAGUCUUAGGAUAGGGUGAGUGUAUUUUUGUAUGUGGAAGGGAAUAUAAAUAAUUUUGGGUCAGUGGGCAAACAGAGGGGUUUUCAAUAAUUCUUUGACACCCCUCCCUUCUGUGGAGCUAAUUCCCCUCCGCUUGAGUGAGUCACCCGGUGACUCAUUACUAAGGAAUAGAAUGUGGCAUAAAUGAUAGAGCAUGACUUCUUUCUUUCUUUCUUUCUUUCUUUCUUUCUUUCUUUCUUUUUUUGAGACAGGGUCUCACUCUGUGGCCCAGACUGGAGUGCCAUGGUGCAAGCACAGCUCACUCGGCUUCAACCUCCUGGGCUCAAGCGAUCCUCUCACCUCAGCCUCCCAAGCAGCUGGGAUUACAGGCACACACCACCAUAUCCAGACAAUUUUUGUAUUUUCUGUAGAAACAGGAGUUUCACAGUGUUGACCAGGAUGGUCUUGACUCCUGGACUCAAGUGAUCCUGCCACUCCAGCCUCCCAAAGUCCUGGGAUUACAGAUAUGAGCCACCAGGCCCAGCCUGACAGAACAUGACUUCUGAGGGUAGGUCAUAAAAGACAUUGUGACUUCCAGUUUGCUCUUUGAUCACUUGUCUAAAGGAAGUCAGCUGCCAUGUCUCAAUGACACUCAAGUGGCCCUAUGGAGGGGCCCAAAACAGCAUCCUCCCACCAAUAGCCAUCGAGGAACUGAGGAACUGAGGCCCUUUGCUAAUAGCCAUGAGUGCACCAUCAUGAAGUAGAUCUCCUGCCCCUGUCAAGCCUUCAGAUGACUGCAGCCCCAGCUGACUGCUCAACUGCAACCUCAUGAGAAACCCUCAGCUAGGACAACCCAGCUAAGCUAUUCUCAAAUUCCACAGAAACUGUGAAAUAAUACAUGCUUAUGUUUUAAGCAAUUAAGCUUUGGUUAAUUUGUUACACAGUAAUAGAUAACUAAUACAGCUGGCUUAUCAGGCAUGUGUAGUUUAAGACUUUUCAUACAGAUUGCAAAAUUGCCUUCCUGAAAUGUUAUGCCAAUUUACACUCCCACGAAGAGUUGCAUAAGAGUGCUCAUGUUCUCAGUCCUUCCUCUUGUUAAGUGCUACAUUUUUAAUUUAUUCUUUCUGAUAUUCUUUAUUCUUUCUGAUAGAAAAUGGUAUCUUAUUACUCUGAUUUAUAUAGUUUUAAAGUUCAAUGAGGUUGAACGUUUUUCAUAUAUUUAUUAUCUGUUUUGUGACUCUCAAUCAAAUGCUGUGUGUGUGUGUAUAUAUAUAUAUUAAAUUGUAGUGUUAAUUUUUUUCAUUCCUUGAUUCCUAAGGUCUAUUUGGCUUUUAACAUCUUAUAUCUACCUGUUACUAUGUUGCAAGUAUUUCUCCUAGCUUGCCACAUAGAUAUCCUUAUGUGGGGGACAUGAAGAUGUACUGCCUGCAACCCUUUCAAGGAAGAUUUGUGGCAGCUGUCUCUUGCCUCAGUUGCAGAGAGCUGCCUUGCCCAAGAGUAUGCUCUUCCUGUGACCCAUAUCCAUUGAUCAAUUGUUGUAGGGUAUAAAGGUCCAGCCAUUUCAGCCCACCAUGGUCCUGCUCUGGCAAGCCAUUGACACUCCCGAGCUCUCCACAGGGUAGCAUUGCUGAGCUGCAUUGUAGUUCGACCACUCCCCUAAAGAAACCCUGCUUCCUUCGUCUCCUUUCCAUAGGUGUCGAUCUCUAACAAACACGGUGCCCAUCAAAUUUCAACCUAGCAUCUUUUUCUAGAAUACUUAACCUGUGACAUCCUGGAAAUUAAUUCCUCAACUUGUAAUUGAUAUAAUAUCUAUAUACCUCUACACAUAAAUGUAUUACUCUUAAAAAUAAUUUAUUAUGUUUUUUCAUAGGGGAAACUGGUUCUUUUAUAGAAUGAUUAUUGGAAUAAAAACACAAAAAGUUGAGUGUUAUUUAAAAACACAAAGUCUUUCCCUAUCAGCUACUAUGCAAAUCCAUUAUCUAUAUUACAUUUCUUCAAAUAAAAUCACUUCCUUACCCUGCGAUAUCUCCCCUGUCACUUACUAUCCCCUUUAUCUUGUUUUUUUUUCUUCACAGCAUUUUAUUUGAGUAUCUUUUACAUCUGUAUCUGCCUCCCCAGCACCUAGAAUGGAACAUGGCAUAUAAUGUGUUCAAUAAAUAUUGAUUGAAUGGAUAGAUGAGUAGAUCAAUAAAGGAGUAAGUGACAUUUGGGUAAAGGUAGAUAAAGUAUAUCCAGACCAAUACCAUAUUUGUCCUCCUUCUUCCAGGAAAAUGAAGCACAGUAUUAAUUUGUCUCAUACAGAAGUUACCAAAAAUAUUUAUUGUAUGUGCACAAAUGUAUCCAGACCACUCUAGAAACCAUCUCUUCUUUGAUCUCUUCUUUCCCCCAGCCUUUCCUCUUUUUGCAGCCUGCAGGACUGCCUAGCUUCAAGGGAGCUGAGAGGAAGGUUGUGUUCAGGUGAUCAGGAAUGGUAACAGAUGGUUGGAUGCCCUCAUUUUGCAGAUGCCUCUAUAUUUGUGCUGCUUAAAAGCAUUUUAACUAGUAUAGAGCAAAACAUGUAUUAUCUUUUAGUUGCAGCCCUAGUUUCUAGAAUCCCGGAUUAGUGACUAGCCCCCUAAACCUCACAGCCACUAAUCCACUGGGAUGGCUCCUCUGCCUCUGUUGACGUUGGGUGCUUUCAGCCCCCAGUGAAUUCUGCCUCUUUAAUCUUGUUUGGUGCUGAUUUU
rnacentral:lncRNA from 1 species